UACGUAGGGUGCGAGCGUUGUCCGGAAUUAUUGGGCGUAAAGAGCUCGUAGGCGGCUUGUCGCGUCGGAUGUGAAAGCCCGGGGCUUAACCCCGGGUCUGCAUUCGAUACGGGCAGGCUAGAGUUCGGUAGGGGAGAUCGGAAUUCCUGGUGUAGCGGUGAAAUGCGUAGAUAUUGGGAGGAACACCAGUGGCGAAGGCGGCUCACUGGACCGGUUCUGACGCUGAUGCGCGAAAGCGUGGGGAGCAAACGGG
rnacentral:rRNA from 1 species